CAUAACUGAUGGUUUUGCCUUUGUUGACUUGUAUAUCCGGUGUCAAUGAUUCAUUGUGUUUGUUUGUUUAUCUAGAAGCUAAUUUGAGUGAUUGGGAUUGCUUUCCUUUUGCGAGUUAUUAGCCUUUUGGUUUUUAUAUUUGAAUAUAUGUUGAAUUAAUCAUUGAAAUAAAAUUCUUAUGAAGUAAUAAACCUUAGAAUUAUUAUUUUUAAUUAGUUUUUUGGUGAAAGUUUAAUGCCCUAAACCUCUCUAUUAUAUUUAUAGAUUUUAUUUAUAGAAGUCAAUGUUUAGGUGAGAAGCAAUAAGGCUUUAUGAUGCUGGACAACCGGCGAGAAUAGAACAACUAAAAGAAAAUAAAAGAAAGGCCAUACAAAAUAAAAGAAGGAAAAAGAUUGAGAUCUACAAUUUACCCACAAUGAUAUGGCAAGUUAUGUGCCAAUUUUUUGUUUGUCACAAACUCAAUCAUGCAAGGCCCAAUCUCAUUGCCAUAUCAUUGUGGGACUUAAAUUGUGGGUCUUUAGCAUUUCUCAUAAAAGAAACUCUAAUUCUCUAUUCUCAAUAUCUCAAAAUUUAAUUCAAUAUCAUAGUCUAUGAAACUAUUACAUAAAAGACCUAUUUAUAGGCAUCCAAAAAAAUUCUAUUUGAUAGUAACCAAAAAGAAAACUAUCAUAAUUAGAGUAAUAAAACAAUAAAACCUAUUAAAUUAUAAAUAAGAAGAUAUCAUCAAAAUAAAUCUUUAAUCUUCGUCCAAUCUCUUCUUGUUCCCCAUCACCGUGUUAAUCAAAUAGGCAAUGGUUAUGGAGUACUCUUUGUUAAUUAAAACUAUUCAACCCUCUUAAAUUUUUUGCAAUUUUGCAAGUCUUAGCAAUCCUAAUGCUGUCUGAUUACAUCCCAGGACAUAAGAUUGCUGUACUGGAACAAGCAUUCAACCGAAAUCUAUUGGGAUCAUUUCUUCUGAUUCAAUUCCAAGCUUGUGUUGGCAUCUCCAGAACUGCUACAGAUGCAGAUUAUGCUGCAAUUUUAUGAGUUAUUGGCCAUGAGUAUUUUCUUGUGUAUAUUGUAGAACUUCAGAAACACACUGAUGAGGUUGCUACCUAAGUUAUAGCGAGAGCUGAAGAACAAGGGCAAUUGAUUGAUUCACUUCACAGCUCUGUAAGUAUUCCUUAAGGAUUAGACUUGCACACAAGCACUGCUUGGGCUUAUAUCGUUUCUAAUGCCAUGUGAUAUUUUUUUUUCUUUUUUUUUUUAUAUUUAAACAAUAGUUUUCUUUUAUUUUGGUUUUUUGACUUUAAAAUAUUUGGCCAUGCACUGAAGAUUUUCAUUUUGGAUUUGUUGAUUCUAUGCAUAUGUCAUAUCUAUAUGGUAAUCCAAACAUUUUAUACUAGUAACAGUCAAAGUGGUUUUUUUAUUUUAUUUUAUUUUAUUUUUCUAUUGAUGCGGGAGAUAAAGAGUCAGUGUGAUAAGAAAAUGUCCGACUUUAUUUUUUUUAAGACUAGAACAGUCGCUACAAAUAGUAAGUUUAUUCAUAUGUUUCUAGUGAUUUCUGAAUAAAUUUGUGUUUUAUUUUUCGGGUUAGUAAUUUCUAGGGAGAGAUGCAAAAUAUGGUCAAAGAAUUCAAGAACUUAGUUUUUUUUUAAAAUUUUUUCUUUUUUUAAAAUAUGUAAUCAUCGUUAAAACUUUUUAUUAAUUCAUUUGUAUAUACUUUUGAAUAUUUAACUUUCAUUUAUGAAAUAUAUGGCGUUAUUCCAUUAAAUAUGUGGUUGUCAUUCAAAAUAUAGUAUAUAGUGUGUGUUACAUUUUUUAAAUGUGCAUACAAAAGUGUGAUCUUAUCUCAUUAUUAAUUACAGGUUUUAUUAGAUAUUAUCACACUUAAAAUAUGUGGUCUAAAUGUUUAUUAUCACAGGUUUUAUUAGCUAUUAAUCACACUUAAAAGGUGUGAUCUAAAUGUUUAUUAUCACAGGUUUUAUUAGUUA